UACGUAGGGGGCAAGCGUUGUCCGGAAUCAUUGGGCGUAAAGCGCGUGUAGGCGGUCCGGUAAGUCCGCUGUGAAAGUCGGGGGCUCAACCCUCGGAUGCCGGUGGAUACUGUCGGGCUUGAGUACUGAAGAGGCGAGUGGAAUUCCUGGUGUAGCGGUGAAAUGCGCAGAUAUCAGGAGGAACACCAAUUGCGAAGGCAGCUCGCUGGGACGUUACUGACGCUGAGGAGCGAAAGCAUGGGGAGCGAACAGG
rnacentral:rRNA from 1 species